rnacentral:rRNA from 1 species
GUGGGGAAUCUUGCGCAAUGGGCGAAAGCCUGACGCAGCCAUGCCGCGUGAAUGAUGAAGGUCUUAGGAUUGUAAAAUUCUUUGACCGGGGACGAUAAUGACGGUACCCGGAGAAGAAGCCCCGGCUAACUUCGUGCCAGCAGCCGCGGUAAUACGAAGGGGGCUAGCGUUGCUCGGAAUUACUGGGCGUAAAGGGCGCGUAGGCGGACAGUUUAGUCAGAGGUGAAAGCCCAGGGCUCAACCUUGGAAUUGCUUUUGAUACUGGCUGUCUUGAGUACGGGAGAGGUGAGUGGAACUCCGAGUGUAGAGGUGAAAUUCGUAGAUAUUCGGAAGAACACCAGUGGCGAAGGCGACUCACUGGCCCGUUACUGACGCUGAGGCGCGAAAGCGUGGGGAGCAAACAGGAUUAGAUACCCGAGUAGUCC